GGGGAUUCCUGCAACAUGCUGCAAUAACAGCCAAGGAAGAUUUUGGUUUAUCCUUCUGUUUGUGAUGGAUCAAAUCAAAAAAGUCCACAGGUACAUGUCAAGGUGCUGCUAUUGAGAAGUGGGCAUUGACUUGUCAUGUUGUGGUAAUGAUGAGCCAACUACAAGUCGUCACUUGCCAGAACCCGAACUCUACCAAGUGAGUGGAUUGUUAAAGGAAUAUCAUCAGAUUGAUUCUUCUGCUCCACAACAAUGUUUUUUAUUUUAUUGUAAUUCCACUGGCUUCAGUGGAGUCAAGCCAGUCUCUGGGACGUUUGGGAAAAAGGAGGAGUCAACCACCAACAUGCCAAAUAUUGCAGCCGAGUUGGAAUGGCCAGUGCAUUGUAUGAUCCUGUGGAAACAUGUACAAUGAUUGUGCAAAUGGAGCUGGUGAUCUGGGCCAAACUGCCUUUUACCACACGGGGCCAUACUUCAGGUGACUUAAAUACUCUUGAAAAGCUGUUGAAAUUGCAACUGCCUUCCCACCUUCUCUGGUAAUGCAAAUCCACCUUUCUGUCAAUGUGCGGACCCUGCUGUGAGUUUAGCCAAGCAAUGAUGAACAGGCACAAUUUCCAUAGGAAAAAAACCCUCUGCAGCCCAGCAUAGACUAAAAUAUAGUUUUUUUCAGUUUUCUUUGCCAUUUACAGUUAGCUACAAGACCCUACUGCUUGGUCCUGUGGCUUUUGAACAUUUCUCUGGCUUCAUCCACCAUCCACAGCAGCUCUGCGCAGAAAAGAGGGAGACAAAUUGAAACCUUUAGGUAUGUGGAGAAUCUCUAGAGCUGUUUUAGGAUGCCGAGGCAACUGUAAUAAUUAUGUGACCAAAUUCACCACUGAUAGUUCAACACACUUUCCCAAGUCACUGCUCAUGUAGCUUGUUUAUGCACACCAUCCAUUGGUGGGACAAAGAGUGAAGGCUGGGCCAUCAUUUUCUGCAAAUAACAGGGUUAAAGGUUACUUUUUAUUUAUUUAAAUAAAAACAGCUUUUAAAAUUCUCUAGGGAUUACA
rnacentral:lncRNA from 1 species